GAGUGGCCUGUAGCUCAGUGGUAGAGUAUUUGCCUUGUAUGCAGAAGGACCCAGGUUCGAUUCCUGGCAUCUUCA